rnacentral:rRNA from 2 species
CGCUGGCGGCAGGCCUAACACAUGCAAGUCGAGCGGUAGAGAGAAGCUUGCUUCUCUUGAGAGCGGCGGACGGGUGAGUAAUGCCUAGGAAUCUGCCUGGUAGUGGGGGAUAACGUUCGGAAACGGACGCUAAUACCGCAUACGUCCUACGGGAGAAAGCAGGGGACCUUCGGGCCUUGCGCUAUCAGAUGAGCCUAGGUCGGAUUAGCUAGUUGGUGAGGUAAUGGCUCACCAAGGCAACGAUCCGUAACUGGUCUGAGAGGAUGAUCAGUCACACUGGAACUGAGACACGGUCCAGACUCCUACGGGAGGCAGCAGUGGGGAAUAUUGGACAAUGGGCGAAAGCCUGAUCCAGCCAUGCCGCGUGUGUGAAGAAGGUCUUCGGAUUGUAAAGCACUUUAAGUUGGGAGGAAGGGCAGUUACCUAAUACGUGAUUGUUUUGACGUUACCGACAGAAUAAGCACCGGCUAACUCUGUGCGAGGGGGGCGCGGUAAUACAGAGGGUGCAAGCGUUAAUCGGAAUUACUGGGCGUAAAGCGCGCGUAGGUGGUUAGUUAAGUUGGAUGUGAAAUCCCCGGGGCUCACCCUGGGAACUGCAUUCCAAAACUGACUGACUAAGAGUAAUGGUAGAGGGGUGGUA